rnacentral:lncRNA from 1 species
CAGAAAAAAAUCAAGAAGACAGGCUGGCUUGCAUGAUUAUUUGAAAGCUGCGCAGACCUGUUGGCAGAGGAAGAAAAACCUAUUGAGGUGAAGGAAGCUCUCCGAGGUUUAUGACAGCAAGAAGGAGCUCUGAAUGUGGGGCCAGGACAGUACCAGACAGAAGGAGAGAAUCUGAGUCUCAGUGGCUCAUAUUACACAUGUCAGCUGCAAAGAGGAAAUAUUUGAAGACUGUUCUGUGGUAGGAGGGGAAAAACACGGCAAAACCUUUGAGCAGACGCCUCAGAGCCUGCAGGAUAAGGUGUCGUUGCACACCUGCAGCAUGCCGGGAUGCUAAAAUCCACCCUCAGCUCUGUCUGUUUCAGGAUGGAUGUGGGAUGGAUGACAAAGCCCUCAUGGAAGGAGCCUUUCUGGCCAGCACUUGUCACUACAGGACUCUUCCAC